AGAGUUUGAUCAUGGCUCAGAAUCAACGCUGGCGGCGUGCCUAACACAUGCAAGUCGAACGCGAAAGUCCCACAAGGGAUGAGUAGAGUGGCAAACGGGUGAGUAACACGUGGGUGACCUGCCUUCGAGCGGGGGAUAACGUCCCGAAAGGGACGCUAAUACCGCAUGACAUCCUGCCUUUGAAGAGGCGGAGAUCAAAGCUGGGGAUCGCAAGACCUAGCACUCGAAGAGGGGCCCGCGCCUGAUUAGCUAGUUGGUGGGGUAACGGCUCACCAAGGCGACGAUCAGUAGCCGGCCUGAGAGGGCGGACGGCCACACUGGGACUGAGACACGGCCCAGACUCCUACGGGAGGCAGCAGUGGGGAAUUGUUCGCAAUGGGCGCAAGCCUGACGACGCAACGCCGCGUGGAGGACGAAGACCUUCGGGUCGUAAACUCCUUUCGAUCGAGACGAAUAGCCUCCGGGUGAACAAUCCGGAGGAAUGACGGUACCGAGAGAAGAAGCCCCGGCUAACUCCGUGCCAGCAGCCGCGGUAAUACGGGGGGGGCAAGCGUUGUUCGGAAUUACUGGGCGUAAAGGGCUCGUAGGUGGCCAACUAAGUCAGACGUGAAAUCCCUCGGCUUAACCGGGGAACUGCGUCUGAUACUGGAUGGCUUGAGUUUGGGAGAGGGAUGCGGAAUUCCAGGUGUAGCGGUGAAAUGCGUAGAUAUCUGGAGGAACACCGGUGGCGAAGGCGGCAUCCUGGACCAACACUGACACUGAGGAGCGAAAGCCAGGGGAGCAAACGGGAUUAGAUACCCCUGUAGUCC
rnacentral:rRNA from 1 species